rnacentral:rRNA from 1 species
UACGUAGGGCGCAAGCGUUGUCCGGAAUUAUUGGGCGUAAAGAGCUCGUAGGCGGUUUGUCGCGUCUGCUGUGAAAAACUCGAGGCUCAACCCUCGGGCUUGCAGUGGGUACGGGCAGACUAGAGUGCGGUAGGGGAGACUGGAAUUCCUGGUGUAGCGGUGGAAUGCGCAGAUAUCAGGAGGAACACCGAUGGCGAAGGCAGGUCUCUGGGCCGCAACUGACGCUGAGGAGCGAAAGCAUGGGGGAAGCGAACAG